rnacentral:rRNA from 1 species
AGCGAACGCUGGCGGCAGGCUUAACACAUGCAAGUCGAGCGCCCCGCAAGGGGAGCGGCAGACGGGUGAGUAACACGUGGGAACGUACCCUUUGGUUCGGAACAACCCAGGGAAACUUGGGCUAAUACCGGAUAAGUCCGCGAGGAGAAAGAUUUAUCGCCGAAGGAUCGGCCCGCGUCUGAUUAGCUAGUUGGUGUGGUAACGGCGCACCAAGGCGACGAUCAGUAGCUGGUCUGAGAGGAUGAUCAGCCACACUGGGACUGAGACACGGCCCAGACUCCUACGGGAGGCAGCAGUGGGGAAUAUUGGAAAAUGGGGGCAACCCUGAUCCAGCCAUGCCGCGUGAGUGAUGAAGGCCCUAGGGUUGUAAAGCUCUUUCGGUGGGGAAGAUAAUGACGGUACCCACAGAAGAAGCCCCGGCUAACUUCGUG